UGCUGGAUACCUCAGUCAGUAGAGCAUGAGACUUAAUCUCAGGAUUGUGGGUUCAAGCCCCAUGUUGGGCAA